rnacentral:rRNA from 1 species
AGAGUUUGAUCAUGGCUCAGGACGAACGCUGGCGGCGUGCUUAAUACAUGCAAGUCGAGCGAGGUCUUGGNNAUGNANNCCUUCGGGNUGAANNNNCUUUGGCCUAGCGGCGGACGGGUGAGUAACGCGUGGGCAACCUACCCCAAAGUCCGGGAUAACAGNGGGAAACCGCUGCUAAUACCGGAUGGCUUUACCUGGUGGCAUCCUUGGGUAAAGAAAGGUUACGCUUUGGGAUGGGCCCGCGUCCCAUUAGCUAGUUGGUGAGGUAACGGCUCACCAAGGCGACGAUGGGUAGCCGGCCUGAGAGGGUGAACGGCCACACUGGGACUGAGACACGGCCCAGACUCCUACGGGAGGCAGCAGUAGGGAANAUUGCGCAAUGGNCGGAANNCUGACGCAGCGACGCCGCGUGAGCGANNAAGGCCUUCGGGUNGNAAAGCUCUGUCCUUGGGGAAGAAGG